UAAAUUUCAAGUCUAACUUCUACUUAGGAAUAGACUAAAGUAAAUAAAAUAGGUCUUAGAUGUUUAUCAAGUCACAUUUUUCCUAAGGUAAAUAUCUUUCACAAGAACUACUCUUAACUCAUCUAAGGCAACUUGUACAGUACCAGAAUUUUGAGUAACUAGGGUCAACUUAACCCAACUCAUGGGUGACAAGGUCACUUAUAUCUAACUAAAGAAACUAAAGCAUUCCCAUUCCAUCUAUGAGACAAUAAGUCAAAUUAACCAAGGCUCUAGCCUACAAGUAAAGCAUUUCAUACUAUGAGUGCAAAGGACCCAAAAAAUUCAACUAAACCCAAGUUUUAUUAUUUUCCAAUAGAACACCUAAAAACCUUCCCAAAUAUAACCACAUAUCAAAAUUAUAAUAUAACAGUUGCCAAUCUAGCAAGAAAUAAGCAUAACCUACCUCAAAUGUAAAGAUAACUUAUAAACCGCUAAACCUUUACUUUUUCCUUAUGAGAAGCUACUGCAAGGUGACAUACUUUUAAAUCACAAUCUAUAGAUCAUUAUGAGAACAUUGAUACUUAUAUUGCACCAUUGUUAUUAAGAUCUAAAAAUGACAACCAAAACACCCUAGCGGGUACCACAUACGGAAAACACGUUUCCAAGAAUAACCCAAUGCUCACGCAUUAUUAGGGAAUUAAAACCAUAUUAAGUGAAAAAAAUUCUUUUUUGGGCCAAAAUCAUGCCAUUAAACUAAUUUGGAUUUUGGAAAAAAAAAUAAAUAAAUUAAUUCUUAGAAAUGAUGGAUUCAUACUUUAAAUAGAUUGUUAAACAUGAAUAUAUUUAUUAAUCAAGCUUCUAACUCAACCCAGAAAAUCAAUUUGAGGUUAGCAUAACAUUCUAGGGUUUCUAUGGUCCAUAGAGAAGUGAAAAAUGGCAAAAUCUUGAUCGAGUGGGCUAUUUAUAACCCCUCCAGGUACAGAGGUACCGUCUUCGCUCGACGUUGGUCUGAGGUUGCCCUUCAUUUUCCGUGAUUGCCAUGUCCUUGGUUCAACAAGGUCAAAACUUAUUUUUCACCUUUAAAACUCAUUUACACUUUAAUUUUCGUAAACAAACAAUGUAACCCCACUAAAUUUAAUGUUUCGGAUGCAUUAGUAACAUUGGAUUUUUUCAUCUUAGGUUGUUUAGGCCAAUUGUGAGUCCAACACCCAUAUUUUUAAACUUUUGAUUUUCUGACCAAUAGGUUGAAAUGAGCUGAGGUGCAAUGGGACACAAACCAAUUAUCUACCUAGCCUAAAAUUGAUGUUUUGGAGCUAUUGGCAUAGUGAAAAUUUGCAUUGUCUAUUCUUUUUUAAAAGUUUUUGCUCAGUGUCCAUUUG
rnacentral:lncRNA from 1 species